rnacentral:rRNA from 1 species
GACGAACGCUGGCGGCGUGCUUAACACAUGCAAGUCGAACGAUGAAGCCGGAGCUUGCUCUGGUGAAUUAGUGGCGAACGGGUGAGUAACACGUGAGUAACCUGCCCUUGGCUCUGGGAUAACUGCGGGAAACUGUAGCUAAUACCGGAUACGACCCUCGGAGGCAUCUCCUGGGGGUGGAAAGAAUUUCGGUCAAGGAUGGACUCGCGGCCUAUCAGCUAGUUGGUGAGGUAAAGGCUCACCAAGGCGACGACGGGUAGCCGGCCUGAGAGGGUGACCGGCCACACUGGGACUGAGACACGGCCCAGGCUCCUACGGGAGGCAGCAGUGGGGAAUAUUGCACAAUGGGCGCAAGCCUGAUGCAGCAACGCCGCGUGAGGGAUGACGGCCUUCGGGUUGUAAACCUCUUUUAGCAGGGAAGAAGCGAAAGUGACGGUACCUGCAGAAAAAGCACCGGCUAACUACGUGCCAGCAGCCGCGGUAA